CUAUUCCCUAGUACAAUGGAGCCUUAUGGACCUUAGUAAAAAAAAGUAGUGCACUAUCAGAGGGAAGAGGGCACUGUGGGACGCCCCCCGUUUGUGUUUAAAUCCUGUCCUUGGAGAGCAGAAUUUGAUCUGCCUCCAUUAGGACGUUACAGGUUCAUUAGGGGAGAUCUAAACACUUCCAUAUACCCUGCAUCCUCCCCCCGGGGAGGGGGGGGGGGGCAUCCUGCCAAUAUAUUCAAGGAAAUGUUCCUGUCCCACUGUGCUUCUGCUUGCUCUUUGAGGACCUGAGCCAUAGGACCAUGCCCCAGGACUACCUGACAUGAUGACUCCUUGCUGUCCCCAGUCCACCUGGCCGUGCUGCUGCUCCAGUUUCAACUGUUCUGCCUUAUUAUUAUACAACCAUGCUGGUCAUUUAUGAACAUUUGAAC
ensembl:lncRNA